AUUGAACGCUGGCGGCGUGCUUAACACAUGCAAGUCGAUCGGUAACAGGUGUAGCAAUACAUGCUGACGAGAGGCGGACGGGUGAGGUAUAUUUGGGAAUCUGCCCAUCAGCGGGGGACAACCCGGGGAAACCCGGGCUAAUACCGCAUACGCUCUACGGAGGAAAGCCGGGGACCGCGAGGCCUGGCACUGAUGGAUGAGCCCAAAUCGGAUUAGCUAGUUGGCGGGGUAACGGCCCACCAAGGCGACGAUCCGUAGCUGGUCUGAGAGGACGAUCAGCAACACCGGAACUGAGACACGGUCCGGACUCCGACGGGAGGCAGCAGUGGGGAAUAUUGGACAAUGGGGGAAACCCUGAUCCAGCGACGCCGCGUGGGUGAAGAAGGCCUGCGGGUUGUAAAGCCCUUUCGGUAGGGACGAAAGCUCUUGCUCUAAUAAUGCAAGAGGUUGACUUAACCUACAUAAGAAGCACCGGCUAACUCUGUGCCAGCCGCCGCCGUAA
rnacentral:rRNA from 1 species